AGAAUCGUAGGUACACUCUAAGACCAACUGCGUGAGGAGACAGUGGGGCCGGCCGCCCUCUGCACUGCUACUAUUUUCUAGUUCCAGCUCUAGCUACCCUUUAGCGACAACGAAUGCAGACCUGAGCUGUAACCACCCAGCUGUGCUCUCUCUGAAUUCUGGAAUCACAGAGUGCAAAUGAGACAAUACAGUGUUUACCAGCCACACAGGAUGACUGUGGUGUACUGUCAAUCCCUGAGAGACUGUUUUGCUGGUUGAGGAUAAGUGCUACACAUACAAACUACAAACCCAGGUGAGGUGGGAGGAGGUCGUGGAGAGGACGCGCCUGCCCGCUGACCUGAGAGCUGCACCGCCCAGUGGGAGGUGCCUUGCCUCCACCCGGCCUUGCAAGUUUUUUCACUGAAGCCAUUUCAAGGACUAACCUGGAGAGAGCAAGGUGGUGAGACCAGGGGGCCUGUGAAGGAGACUGAACCCCGUUAAGGCCUCUGUAUAAACUUUUAAGAUUCUGACACAAGUGCGGAAAUCUCAUCUUCGCGCUGCGAAGACAUGCCUUGGAGGUAAGCGUCGGCACUUAUGACACCUGCGGCCCACCUGCGUGGAGCGGCCCUGCUCUUUCUUCCGUCUCUCCUGCGCCCUGUGUACGGGAUCCGGUUCCACAUUUCACCCGAGAGCUCCUGAGGUUGUGAACCAACACAGGCCACAUAAAUAAUUUUUCCACUUCAUUAUUAAUAUGCAUUUUGGUUGUUUAGAAAUAGAGGUUUUGUUUGGCCAUAAAGCCAGAGCACACUAGGGUUUAGAAAUUGCCAAAGGAUUUUGCAGCGUGGUUGAACCAGUUUAUAUUGCUACCAACAGUGCAUAUUUCAUUUGCUUCAUUUCCUUGCCAGGACUUGAUGUUAUCUGAUUUUUGCCUAUUUUUCUGUUGGAUUUUCUAUUUAUCUUUGUAUUGAUUUGUUGCAAUUUUUAAUAUAACAUGCCUACAAGGCCUUUACCAGACACAUAUACGGUACAUACCUUCUUCCAAUCUGUCUUGACCUUUAUUUCUUUCAAUGUUAUCUUUAUUUGAAUGAAGUCCAAAUUACCAUUUUUAGAAAAUUUUAUUUUGAAAGUGAAGUGAGCCAGCUGAAACCACCUAAAUCCAAUAAUGCAAAUUAGCAUAACAGGUAAGAAGACAUAUUAACAUCGGGUACCCUCUAAUACAACUCACUGAGUAGGAAAUAGCCCUCUUUGGUCUUAAGAAAAAUGAGUAACACAGUUUAAUUAAGCGAAUACAUCAAGUGAACUCAAAUAGAGGCACGUUAUGCAAAGUAAUUUACACAGUAGUCUUCAAAAGUGUCAGAAGUACUGAAAAAAAAAGGAAAAUUUGAGAAAUGGUUAGGUGGUUUCUGUUGGCACUCUUCACUGUAAACAGUAAUGUUGUAGUUACUGUUUUUCUACUUGUAUUUAAUAACUUUUGGAGGAGAUACUUUAAAGUGAAGCAAACAUGCUGUGCUUUAACUCAUCAUUUUCACAUCUGUUACUACAAAGAUUGCAAAACAAUUUGUCCUGCAAAUUUUGCCUGCAAAAAUUAUUGCUGUGACCUUUAAGCAGAUUUUCUAUUUCUCAAAUUUCUUCCUCAUUUAUUAGUCAUUUAUAAUUGGUGCUUUUUGAGGCUUUGUUUAAAAAAUUAUUGGCCCUUCUCAAGCUUAUGUAUAUAUUAACUCCUGUUUAUGGUCAAUAAACUUGAUAGUUUUAUUUUCAUAUUUAAACUACCAUUCAAAGGUUUAAUUAAUUUUUAUGUAUUUUGUGAGUUUGGGGUCAGAAUUUUUUUUCCAUAUGGAAAUCUGCAUUAACUUAGCAUUAUUAGGAAGCCCCUUGCAUUGUGUGCCACCUUUGUCAUAAAUUUAGUAUGAGUCUCUGCGCAGGUUUAUUUCUGGUCUUUGUUCUUUUCUGUUUAUUUGACAUCUUUCAUUCUCUUUAUUCCUUACUAUGUAAUGAUUUUCGAUGCCAUUUCAAAUGAUAAUACUCUUAUAGUUUCAUAUUGUCUUGCCAAUGGGUUUCAGCCUUGACAAGUUCCUUAUGGAUUCAGUGUGACCAAAGAAAAUGACAGCAAAAUGAUCUUUGGGGUGAAAGGGUUUAUUACUCGGCUUGUUUUCCCUGCAGUAGGUCAAGCACUAGCAUCUCUGCCCCCUUCCAAAGCACUGGGCCAAGGUCUCUAUAUAGGGCAAUAAUAGUUUAUUGCCUAAAGGCAUGGAAGCAGUAGCCUAGCAACAGGCCGGUUACAUCAUUAGGUGGUUUAAGUUCAGUGAGGAUCCUGCCCAUAGGAACCCCAAGUUCCCCACAAUAUUCUAAUUAUUUGUUUUUCUACAGCAAUACUUUUUUUAAAUGUAUAUACUGACUUCAAAUCUAGGGAUCUUCCUAAUUCUGCUCUCAUAGGUUUUCUGUAUAUUCUUCUGGAUUUUCUUCAGUUCUAUUUUCUCUAUUUGAUUUUUGUACAUUUUAUUUUUUCUUUCAGUUCUACUUUGCUGGAAACUCAAAAUAUAACUAGAAGUAGUGAUAUGAAAUUUGCCUCAUUCCAAUUUUCAGAGAAAGCCUUUACUCUUUCACUAUUUAGUAUUUUUGCUACAAAGACUUAGUUGAAAUUAUGUAACUCUUUCAACUCAAGUAAUAUUCCUUGUUUUCCAGUUUGCUAAGUUUUUUUCAUAAGUGAGUGUUAAAUUACAUAAAAUCUGUUUAAUCAUUGUCUAUGAAGCAUCUGAAUUUUUUCUUUUUUGAGAAUCUGAAAAAUUAUGUUGAUGAUUUUUAAAAUGUUACAUCACCCUUAUAUUCUUGGAUUAAAUCUAAUUUUGUUGUUAUGUUUGUAAUGCUUUGUUAUAAUAUUUUUGUUUGCUAACUUUUGUUGUAUAUUUUACAUCAAUGUUGAAUGAGAUUGGCAGUAGUUUUAGUGUUGUUAAAAUCUACAGUGAUCUUGCCUGUAUCAUUAUUAAUAUGAGUAAUGUAUAUCUUCUUUAUCUUUAGUUAGUGUUGAUACAGGUCAGCAUAUUUAUUUUUCUGUAACAAAUAUUUGGUUAUUAUAUAUUUGAUUUUUACUGCAGUGAUUCAUUGAUUUUCAUUCAUUUUAAAAGUGAGUUGUCAUUCUUACUGUUGCAUGAUUGAAGACAAUGUGUCCUUUUUCUAUAGCUACAAUGAGAUUGUCUUUAUCUAUGGUUAUUAGUAGUUUUUCUGUCAUGUGCCUUGUUGUAAUUUUUUAAAAUUUAUUUUUCCUACUUGGGGCUUAUCAUAUUUGAUGUAUUUCAUUAAUUUCAAGAAAAUCUUAGCCUUUUUCUGUCCAAAUAUGUCUCUGUUCAAUUUUCUCCUCCUUCUGAGACUCCAGUUUUACGUAAUAUAUAAUUUUUUAGAUAAAAGUGAAAUGUAUAUAAUUUUACAUGGAAAAGUGACAUGUAGUUUUAUAUGUAGAAGUAACAUAUAUGACAUAUAUAGAUCACAUACCCUUUUUGAUUUACUCUGUUUUCAUCUGUAUUUUUCUCAUGCUUUAGUUUGGAUGUAUUCUAGUAUUAUUUCUUAGUUCACUGAAACUUUUCUCAGUAAUGUCCAAUCUGCUGAUAAAUACAUAUAUUGAGUUCUUAAACUCAGUACUGUAUUUUUGCUCUCUAUAGAGUUUCAGUUAAAUUCUUUUUUUCAAAAUUAAUUCUAGUUCUUUAAAUGAUCAGUCUCAUCAUCUAUUUUCUUGAAUUUGUUAACCAUUUUAUUUUGAAGCAAUUCAGUGUAUUAUAUUUAUAACUGAUGAUCAUUUCUCUGGUCAUCCACUGACAUGCUAAUAAAUCGUUCAUCACCAUUGCUCUAAUUAUGUGUUGAAGUAAUGUAUUAUUGUAGGGCAUUUCCUAGAGACAGACACACUUUGUACUGGAUUUUUGAAUAAUUAUUUAUUUAAAAGUUUGGAAGGGAGGUGAAAUAUAAAAUCUAAAAUAAUUUAAUGGAUUAUUAAGUACAUGAAGAUUGGGGUUCACUUACCUGUUUUCUAAUUUAUGAAGUCAUGAUUUGUUGAAGUGGAGAUAGAGCUGGUGAAAAAAUAUUGUAGUAGUAAUAGCUAUAAAUUGCUUUAAUGGGCUUUAUAUCUUAUUCAAGUGAUUAAAGCAUGUUAAUUUCAAAUUUUGUAGUUCUACAAGUCAUUUGGAACUGAGUGUAUUAUUGAGUGGAAAUAAAUAUGAUUUAGUCAUUAAAAUUAGACUAGCAGCAUUGACCUUAAACCUGGACCAGAGAAAUAAAGCUGUGUGUGAUUUUAAUGGUACCAGUCACAGGUCUAUAGUUUAUUUAAAAAAAAAGAACUCUGCUUUUCCUCCCUAAUACU